rnacentral:rRNA from 1 species
AUACGUAGGGUGCGAGCGUUGUCCGGAGUUACUGGGCGUAAAGAGCGUGUAGGCGGUUGGAAAAGUCAGGUGUGAAAUGUCUCGGCUCAACCGGGUCACUGCGCCUGAAACUUUCUAACUGGAGUAUGGGAGGGGUAAUCGGAAUUCCUGGUGUAACGGUGAAAUGUGUAGAUAUCAGGAGGAACACCGGUGGCGAAGGCGGAUUACUGGACCAAUACUGACGCUGAGACGCGAAAGCGUGGGGAGCAAACAGGAUUAGAAACCCUAGUAGUCC